rnacentral:rRNA from 1 species
GAUUUCGCGACCUCAACUCAUGUGUGACUACCCCCUGAAUUUAAGCAUAUUAAUUAGGGGAGGAAAAGAAACCAACAGGGAUUCCCUUAGUAGUGGCGAACGAAACGGGAUCAGCCCAUCACGUAGGAUCAUAGGCUUAAUUGUCCUAUUGAUCGAUUCCGUGUAAAGGAGGGUCCAUUAUCUUGCACAUAUAAACAUCAUAUUUAAGUCCAGCUUGAAUGCGGCUCAAUAUACCCACAGAGGGUGCCAGGCCCGUAUAUGUAUGAUGCUUGUGUAAGUGGGCUAUUAACUCCUAGGAGUCAUGUUGCUUGAUAGUGCAGCA